GAGCACGUGAAAUUCCGUCGGAAUCUGGGAGGACCAUCUCCUAAGGCUAAAUACUCUCUAGUGACCGAUAGUGAACCAGUACCGUGAGGGAAAGGUGAAAAGCACCCCGGAAGGGGAGUGAAAUAGAACCUGAAACCGUGUGCUUACAAGUAGUCAGAGCCCGUUAAUGGGUGAUGGCGUGCCUUUUGUAGAAUGAACCGGCGAGUUACGAUUUGAUGCAAGGUUAAGCAGUAAAUGUGGAGCCGUAGCGAAAGCGAGUCUGAAUAGGGCGUUUAGUAUUUGGUCGUAGACCCGAAACCAGGUGAUCU
rnacentral:rRNA from 1 species